UAGUUUGUUUGGACAUAUAAA
rnacentral:piRNA from 1 species